rnacentral:rRNA from 1 species
UCCGUAGGUGAACCUGCGGAGGGAUCAUUAAAGAGUUGCAAAACUCCCAACCAUUGCUAAACAACCACUGUUUCUUCGGCGGGUGGCCGCAUGGCCGCGCGCACCCUUCUCGGGGGGGACGCACCCCGCCGGAGCACACCAAACUCUUGUCAUUAUUGAUGCUCUGAGUAAAAAACAAAAUUAUUACAACUUUCAACAAUGGAUCUCUUGGCUCUGGCAUCGAUGAAGAACGCAGCGAAAUGCGAUACGUAAUGUGAAUUGCAGAAUCCAGUGAAUCAUCGAAUCUUUGAACGCACAUUGCGCCCGCCAGUAUUCUGGCGGGCAUGCCUGUCCGAGCGUCAUUUCAACCAUCAAGCCUAGUGCUUGUGUUGGGGCCCCGCGGCUGCCGCGGGCCCUGAAAAGAAGUGGCGGGCUCGCUACAACUCCGAGCGUAGUAAUCUUUUAUCUCGCUAGGGAAGUGUGGCGUGCUCCUGCCGUUAAAGACCCCAUCUUUAACAAGGUUGACCUCGGAUCAGGUAGGAAUACCCGCUGAACUUAAGCAUAUCAAUAAGGCGGGAGGGGAAGGUCGGACUGGCCAAGGGCACACAGGGGGGGAUA